CCUACGGGGGGCUGCAGUGAGGAAUAUUGGUCAAUGGACGAGAGUCUGAACCAGCCAAGUAGCGUGAAGGAUGACUGCCCUAUGGGUUGUAAACUUCUUUUAUAGGGGAAUAAAACGUUCCACGUGGGGGAUUUUGUAUGGACCAUAUGAAUAAGGAUCGGCUAACUCCGUGCCAGCAGCCGCGGUAAUACGGAGGAUCCGAGCGUUAUGCGGAUUUAUUGGGGUUAAAGGGAGCGUAGGGGGAUUGUUAAGUCAGUUGUGAAAGUUUGCGGCUCAACCGGAAAAUUGCAGUUGAAACUGGCAGUCUUGAGUACAGUAGCGUUGGUCGGACUUCGUGGUGUAGCGG
rnacentral:rRNA from 1 species